GUCCGACCUCCACCCUUUGUGAACACAUCUUGUUGCUUCGGGGGCGACCCUGCCGUCCGCGGCAUUCCCCCCGGAGGUCAUCAAAACACUGCAUUCUUACGUCGGAGUAAAAAGUUAAUUUAAUAAAACUUUCAACAACGGAUCUCUUGGUUCUGGCAUCGAUGAAGAACGCAGCGAAAUGCGAUAAGUAAUGUGAAUUGCAGAAUUCAGUGAAUCAUCGAAUCUUUGAACGCACAUUGCGCCCCCUGGUAUUCCGGGGGGCAUGCCUGUUCGAGCGUCAUUUCACCACUCAAGCCUCGCUUGGUAUUGGGCGUCGCGAGUCUCUCGCGCGCCUCAAAGUCUCUGGCUGUCUGACCCGUCUCCCAGCGUUGUGGCAACUAUUUCGCAGUGGAGUUCGUGUCGGUGCGGCCGUUAAAUCUUUCAAAGGUUGACCUCGGAUCAGGUAGGGAUACCCGCUGAACUUAAGCAUAUCAAUAAGCGGAGGAAAAGAAACCGACAGGGAUUGCCCUAGUAACGGCGAGUGAAGCGGCAACAGCUCAAAUUUGAAAUCUGGCGCAAGCCCGAGUUGUAAUUUGUAGAGGAUGCUUCUAGGUAGCGACCGGUCUAAGUUCCUUGGAACAGGACGUCAUAGAGGGUGAGAAUCCCGUAUGUGACCGGCCCGCACCUUCUACGUAGCUCCUUCGACGAGUCGAGUUGUUUGGGAAUGCAGCUCUAAAUGGGAGGUAAAUUUCUUCUAAAGCUAAAUACCGGCCAGAGACCGAUAGCGCACAAGUAGAGUGAUCGAAAGAUGAAAAGCACUUUGGAAAGAGAGUUAAAAAGCACGUGAAAUUGUUG
rnacentral:rRNA from 1 species